rnacentral:rRNA from 1 species
CCUACGGUGUGCAGCAGUGGGGGAUAUUGCACAAUGGGGGAAACCCUGAUGCAGCGACGCCGCGUGUGGGAAGACGGUCCUCUGGAUUGUAAACCACUGUCCCCAGGGACGAAGAUGACGGUACCUGGGGAGGAAGCUCCGGCUAACUACGUGCCAGCAGCCGCGGUAAUACGUAGGGGGCAAGCGUUAUCCGGAUUUACUGGGUGUAAAGGGAGCGCAGACGGCAGUGCAAGUCUGGAGUGAAAGCCCGGGGCCCAACCCCGGAACUGCUCUGGAAACUGUGCGGCUAGAGUACGGGAGGGGCAGGCGGAAUUCCUAGUGUAGCGGUGAAAUGCGUAGAUAUUAGGAGGAACACCAGUGGCGAAGGCGGCCUGCUGGACAGUAACUGACGUUGAGGCUCGAAAGCGUGGGGAGCAAACAGGAUUAGAUACCCUUGUAGUC